CUUGACCGACCCCAGCAACAACGGUCGGUCACGAUCCUGACCGUAGGUCGCCAGCAGCGCCUGCGCCUC
rnacentral:antisense_RNA from 1 species